ensembl:lncRNA
UACAAAUACAUCCUGCCGCCUGCCAAAGAGCAGGUCGAUUGUGAUGGAAACACCGGUAUGAACGCUCAUCCAGAAUGCAGCAGCUCAACUGGUCUUUAACCUUCCAAAAUUCUCCCACACUACCCCACUCCUCCACUCUCUUCCCUGGCUACCGGUGGCUGCCCGCAUCCAGUUCGGUGAAUGGAUCGGGUCCAGUCUACGUCCAGGACGUGGCCAAACCCGACAUCCCAACCCGCACACUCCGCUCUGCAUCUGCCAAACUGCUCGUCCCUCCCUCACUGAGAGCAAAACACUCGACUAGAUCACGACUCUUUGCUGUCCUUGCUCCGAAAUGGUGGAACGAGCUCUCUGAAGACACCAGGACCGCAGAGAGCCUUCACAUCUUCCGCCGCAAACUAAAGACACACUUCUUCAGACUCUACCUCGACUAAAAAACACAAAACAAAUUGUAGCACUUGAAUUGUAUUUAUAAUGGCUUCUAGCAGUUGUAAAUCGGCUUAUUUGAUGAAAUUGCACUUUCUUCCUUCUGGGUUUGUAUCCUCAUG